GCCGUAGUGGCCAUCCAUAGCGCGAGUUGUUCUGUCAGUCAGCUCUAACGUCAGGUACGGCAGGUGAAAAAAAGAAACACCUAAAAAAAAAGAGAACGAAAAAAAAACUUGACUAGAUAAGUUGAAACAAGAAAAAUGGCGGACUCGGAUGAGUCGUUACAAGACAACGAGCUGUUUACACUGAAAAGUUUCCUGGACAAUUUUGAUCUUCCACAAACUGUAUUUGUUGUGUCACCAGGUAACUGCCAGACGACUCCUGCUGUCGAAGAAGGUCAGUGGCUGCGUUUGUAUAAAACUGUUAUCCCCAGAGUGUUGUUGACACCUUGUAAGGCAGACGAUGAAUGCGAGUGGGACACGCACUGUGAUCCGUCGGCCAAGACUCCGGUCACGGACCACGAUACUAUUGAAGUACCUAUAGACUAUCCAGCACGGUACGUUGUUCUUUCACCUCCACAUGACGAACAAGAGCCGGACGCGAUCUACGAGACGAUAAAUGAUUUAAUAAAGGUAUCACCGCCAUUAUUUAAAGCGAACUGUUCGUCGUGCUUCUCGCAACAGAGUUUCAUUGGAGAAAUACAGAAAAACAAUUUUGAGGCUGGAGAUACAUUCAAGUUUCUGAAAAUCGUUCGCGAUGGAUAUUUCGGGAAAUAUUUACAAUGCCAACACCAAGACGGUCGAAUUAUGGAACUGCCAUGGUCAUGUAAGGGUGAUUUUUCUUACGUUGUUGAUUCGAAUACCACUUACACUGUGGAACAACUUCUGGAAGCGAAUCGCAUGCCCAGAUAUCUUUGGCAAGCUGAUGAAUUGGUUGAUCACAGUAAUUACCAAGACAGCAUCGUACGUGUGGGAAUUGAUUCCCCCUCGAAAGUAUUCACAGACGACCCAUUUUUCAACGACGAUUCGAUCGACAUGUCUGAAUCAUAUUUCGCUAAUCAACGGAAUAGUUUUCGUUCUGCGAAAUUAUCUGGAAGGAAUAUUAUUUAUAUGGACAUUCCUGAGAUUUUUGUCCAGGUUUAUCAUACUAGUGACCCUACUGAUACUGUUGAUGCUGAUCCCACACGGAAUGGCGAAUCAGACGUAAGGUGGCUCAUUCCUCUUAGUUCUGACAUGCUUGUUAAAUGUAUAUCCAUUCCAGAUUAUGAACAUCCCAAAAAUUACAAAGCCCGUCGUACAUUAUGGGAAGUGGCAUCGGAACAUACUCGACCACUAAUUUUCUUCCCAGUCUUAGCCCAAAUUGUAUCUUACCCCGACCUUCCUUCUGAAUUCGCCACUUAUCUUAAACCAAAGUCACAAAUAGUUGUUCGAAGAGUGGAACAUAUCGAUAAAAUUCUUGCGCGCACGGAAGACAGAUUUUUCAUAAUUGGACCUAAUCUUUAUAAAAGUUUCUCUGCAUUACCACGGAGAUUUCGGAAUGUCUCUGAAUUAAGUAUUUGCAAGGCUGGCUGUGAGCUGCAGGUAUUGGAAGAUGUGGCCACUGACUUUCCGAAACCAAUUAGUUUGAAUAAAGGAGAUAUAAUCCGAAUUCCAAACUUCCAGACCGUUGUCUAUAAAUUCGGAGGUGGCGAUUAUAAAAUGGAAUGUAAAGUGCUAAGAUGUGAGAAACUAAAUUCUCGUGGAAAAUAUGAGAAACUGAAGAUACCUGUGGAUUUAGAAAUUGAUUUAAUUGAAAUGAUUGCAAACGAAGACAGAGAAAGAUGGUUCGUGUCUGAAUUAUUCUACCGUCGGCCAAAAUUACCAUUGGAUGUAGAAGCCGGGGAUUUCUACCCAACAGUAAGUGCAGACACAGUGCUAACUUUGGAAAAUUUUGUUCGAGACACAGUUGUGGUUGUGUCUAACACAAAAGAUAGCCAAACAGAAUCGACAUUUUCAAAUCAAGUGUGUAUUGAAAUUCCUAGUCGAUAUAAAAUGGUUCUAGAUCUUAAACAGGAUACUGUCUUGCCAACUGACUUUACUUCUCCAGUUGAACGGAUAGCCUUGGAUGCUGAAGAACUAUUUGAGGAAACGUAUUUUUAUAUGGAAACUUACCACCUCCGUUUUCAAAGUAUGGACUGUUUGAGAGAUUCCGCUCAACACCAUAUGAGUUCAAGAUCUGUAUGGAGACGCGAUUUGAAUAUAGUACCACAGCUGUCCAACAUGAGGAGAUCUUUAUCAACAUUCAGCGUCAAUAAAGCAAACAAAUUGCGGAAAAGCUUUUCACGGAUGCGCAAGAAAAAAUAUCCAUCACAGGGUCUUAUAAGAUCAGAGGUCAGGAGGGCUGAAUCAGAAACAGGUAAGGGUUGAUGACAAGAAGGACAUCCAAUUGUAAAAGAUCUGCCCCACUAAACUUUAUACAAGCCAUACCAGCAUGGAAAGUGGAUGUUGUUUGAGGGAGAACUUGCUGCUUUUUCUUGGUGUUUGUUUCUAUCUGUCAACAAA
rnacentral:misc_RNA from 1 species